CCGGCGCACGGGUGGGUAACACGUAUGCAAUCCACCUGUAACAGGGGAUAACCCGGAGAAAUCCGGACUAAUACCCCAUAAUAUGGGCGCUCCGCAUGGAGAGCCCAUUAAAGAGAGCAAUUUUGGUUACAGACGAGCAUGCGCUCCAUUAGCCAGUUGGCGGGGUAACGGCCCACCAAAGCGACGAUGGAUAGGGGUUCUGAGAGGAAGGUCCCCCACAUUGGAACUGAGACACGGUCCAA
rnacentral:rRNA from 1 species